GACGAACGCUGGCGGCGUGCUUAACACAUGCAAGUCGAACGGAAAGGCCCUGCUUUUGUGGGGUGCUCGAGUGGCGAACGGGUGAGUAACACGUGAGUAACCUGCCCUUGACUUUGGGAUAACUUCAGGAAACUGGGGCUAAUACCGGAUAGGAGCUCCUGCUGCAUGGUGGGGGUUGGAAAGUUUCGGCGGUUGGGGAUGGACUCGCGGCUUAUCAGCUUGUUGGUGGGGUAGUGCUUAUCAAGGCUUUGACGGGUAGCCGGCCUGAGAGGGUGACCGGCCACAUUGGGACUGAGAUACGGCCCAGACUCCUACGGGAGGCAGCAGUGGGGAAUAUUGCACAAUGGGCGGAAGCCUGAUGCAGCAACGCCGCGUGCGGGAUGACGGCCUCCGGGUUGUAAACCGCUUUCGCCUGUGACGAAGCGUGAGUGACGGUAAUGGGUAAAGAAGCACCGGCUAACUACGUG
rnacentral:rRNA from 1 species